UAGGGAAUCUUCCGCAAUGGACGCAAGUCUGACGGAGCAACGCCGCGUGAGUGAAGAAGGUUUUCGGAUCGUAAAACUCUGUUGUUAGAGAAGAACAAGUGCUAGAGUAACUGUUAGCGCCUUGACGGUAUCUAACCAGAAAGCCACGGCUAACUACGUGCCAGCAGCCGCGGUAAUACGUAGGUGGCAAGCGUUGUCCGGAUUUAUUGGGCGUAAAGCGAGCGCAGGCGGUUCCUUAAGUCUGAUGUGAAAGCCCCCGGCUCAACCGGGGAGGGUCAUUGGAAACUGGGGAACUUGAGUGCAGAAGAGGAGAGUGGAAUUCCAUGUGUAGCGGUGAAAUGCGUAGAUAUAUGGAGGAACACCAGUGGCGAAGGCGACUCUCUGGUCUGUAACUGACGCUGAGGCUCGAAAGCGUGGGUAGCAAACAGGAUUAGAUACCCUGGUAGUCCACGCCGUAAACGAUGAGUGCUAAGUGUUGGAGGGUUUCCGCCCUUCAGUGCUGCAGUUAACGCAUUAAGCACUCCGCCUGGGGAGUACGACCGCAAGGGUUG
rnacentral:rRNA from 1 species